rnacentral:rRNA from 1 species
AUUGAACGCUGGCGGCAUGCUUUACACAUGCAAGUCGAACGGCAGCAUAGGUGCUUGCACCUGAUGGCGAGUGGCGAACGGGUGAGUAAUAUAUCGGAACAUGUCCGGAAGUGGGGGAUAACGUAGCGAAAGUUACGCUAAUACCGCAUAUGCCCGGAGGGGGAAAGGGGGGGAUCGCAAGACCUCCCGCUUUCGGAGUGCCCGAUAUUGGAUUAGCUAGUAGGUGAGGUAAAGGCUCACCUAGGCGACGAUCCGUAGCUGGUCUGAGAGGACGACCAGCCACACUGGGACUGAGACACGGCCCAGACUCCUACGGGAGGCAGCAGUGGGGAAUUUUGGACAAUGGGCGCAAGCCUGAUCCAGCCAUGCCGCGUGAGUGAAGAAGGCCUUCGGGUUGUAAAGCUCUUUCAGCCGGAAAGAAAUCGUACUUAUUAAUACUAAGUGCGGAUGACGGUACCGGAAGAAGAAGCACCGGCUAACUACGUGCCAGCAGCCGCCGUAAUAC